CAUAAUUCUCAACUUUUACAUUGUGUUCUUUUAUCCCCCAGGUGACAGUGUGGCGACCACUAAGGGACCUAGAGCUGACUUCUCUCCUUCACCUGAACUCUCUGAGGAACAGGAGCCUUGGUACCAGCAGAGGCCUCUUCUGUCCACCUACCUCCUGAGAGACUCCAGACGAAUCUGGAAUCUUCGCCUGAUCUAGGAAUAAGCCCUCCUAGCGCCAUGGGACAAAAACUGGUCAUGAAAUGACUCCCAAACAUUGGUCAAAUUUAUGAGUAAGAGGAGGCACUGUGGACAAAGAAUGUCACCUGCCAUCUCAGUAAACAAAGGAUGUAGAGCCAUCAAGCCCUCUGCCACUGCAGCUGUCCCAGCUGUGCACCCUGGGGGGAUUCAGGAUGGAGAGAAGCAGGACACUGGCCCCAGAGAGCAAAGGUGCACAUCAAAGGAAUGAGUUCAAUGAGGCCAGACUCUUGCAUCUUCCCAUACCUGGCAAAAUGCUGAAUUCAUUAACUUGAGAUAUCUCGUUUUCACUAAUGAGCAGUAAUCUUUUCAUGUUCCAACUACCUGGAUUUUUUUUUUUUUUGCUUGUGUGUGUUUGUU